GGAGAAUAUCGUUUGACUUGAACGAACACUGCACAUCCCGCAUGGAAAAAAUUACAAAAAAAAAGAAAAAUUACAACUGCGAUGGUUUUUUUUGGCGGAAUUACAUGUUACAUCUAUAUCCAGCUUAUAUUUUCAAUGUAAGCGGUAAGAUAUAUCUGCACAGUUAUAUCCAUAAUAUAUUCCACAUAAUGCAUUUGUUGCCGAAAUGUAUGCGACAUAUAUCUCGAUAUAUAUUUUUUUCACGUGUAACUUAUCAAUUCUGUAUUCUAAUCGUUUCUUUUUUCCUUUUGUUGUGAUAUAAAAACGUUUAGUAGCGUCUGAGAUAGAGAGUGAACGCGUCAGUCGUGUGCGAUCCGUCGAGCCGUGAACAUCAAAGUGUUAUCGCAUCCGAAAAGGUUUAUCGUCAUGUGCGCGUGCGCCUCGUUUUUGCCGACCCGCGCAACACCCUAGACAUUCCUAUCUUCCAUCUGCCAGGAGUCUAAAACUGAAACGACUUAUGAAAUAGUUUAAACGUUGAAAUGUACGACACCACUACUAUGGAUACCUGGAUUCACGAUGUGGUGUGUAUGAUGUCUGGAAAUGUAUCUGAAAAUAUGAUUUCGAGCAAUAGACUCCUACCUGGCAUCAAGCAGGAAGUGGAUAAUCCAACAACUGCAAGCCAGAACUACCACCAGUCGUGCUCACCUAGUACAACAAUUCAGCCAAUUUCAGAGGUGACAAUUAAAAUGGACAUGGGCGACUACAGUGGAGGGAGAGCGAGUCCUGGGAGUCCUGAAAUGCAACACUGCUCUUCUACUACGCAACCGUUAGGAACGUCAGAGGGAGUUAUUAAAGAAGAGGACAUGAUUCCCAGAAGAGUGUGUCUAGUCUGUGGAGAUGUAGCCAGUGGUUUUCAUUAUGGAGUUGCAUCUUGUGAAGCAUGCAAAGCAUUUUUUAAAAGGACGAUACAAGCGAGUAACUUCACAGGAAAUAUUGAGUACACCUGCCCUGCAAAUGGAGAGUGCGAGAUAAACAAAAGGAGAAGGAAAGCUUGCCAGGCUUGUAGAUUCCAAAAAUGCUUGAGACAAGGAAUGUUAAAAGAAGGAGUUCGACUGGACCGAGUCAGAGGGGGAAGACAGAAAUACAGAAGAGCUACUGAUCCUUAUCUUCCUGUAAAAACGGUGACAUUAGAUGAUAAUAAAGUGAUUGAAGCGCUGAUCGCGUGUGAGCCCGACACUCUUCAGGUAUUCAAUGUUGCACACACACUGGACACGGAUCAGCGGGUACUAGGACAGUUAUCAGAUCUCUAUGAUCGUGAGCUUGUUGGAAUAAUUGGCUGGGCAAAGCAAAUACCUGGAUUUAGUGGGCUCGCACUUAACGAUCAAAUGCGACUAUUGCAGAGUACGUGGGCUGAGAUUUUAACAUUCUGCCUUGCGUGGAGGAGUAUUCCAAACACGGGAAGACUUAGAUUUGCUCAGGAUUUCACCUUAGAUGAACGACUUGCAAGAGAGUGUCAUUGCACUGAACUUUUUUCUCAUUGCAUUCAAAUUGUCGAGAGAGUGCAGAAACUCAAUCUCUCCCGAGAAGAAUUUUACGUCCUGAAGGCUUUAAUUCUGACAAACAGUGACAUAAGACUAGAUGAGCCACAGUCGCUCUACCGUCUUCGUGAUUCCAUUCUCAAUUCCUUAUCAGACUGUGUGGCAGCCGUGAGACCAGGACAAACGAUGCGUGCGACCCAGAAUAUGUUUUUAGUAAUGCCAAGUCUUCGUCAAGCAGACGGCAUUGUUCGUAGAUUCUGGUCGAGUGUUUACAGAACCGGUAAAGUGCCCAUGAAUAAGUUAUUUGUCGAAAUGUUGGAGGCUGCUAGCUAUCGAUGAAACAAGUCCAGCUCGAUUCAUCUCGAUACACAAGUACUCAACGUCAUCGAUACGCGGGUCAUGCGAUUAAAGUUGGAGUAAGAUAGUUCCGCAUCAACCAUCAUGGUAGAAGAAGUCUACUUUCCUAAAUCCUUUGGUGUACGGAAAACUUUUACGUCAAGCCGUAGAGAAGUCAAGUUUUCAGCAGGACAAUUAUGACUGACAUGCAUUAACUGUGAUCGACGAAUUGAUAAAAACAAAAAUUACGACACCAGUGAGUGGAACAGCAGUUCUGAGAACCACUGUAAUUUGCAUUAGAGUCUUACACUGGGACUUUUUAACGGUCCGUAAUUAAAAUGUGAAAAAAAACCGCAUCAAUAUCUUGAAGCUUUCAUGUGAAUUUUGUCAAUUGUUCCAGGCCAUUUUGCCAUUGCUUAAUGUUUUAUUAAGAAGCUCUAUGUUGUUUCUUUACGUACAGUAUUGGCCACCGUAAAGUACGCCGAACUUCUCUUUCUUGACAUUAUUCCUUAACGAUAACUAAGAAAGGCCCUUUAAAAUAUUAUAAAAUUAAAAACAAAGUAUCAAGCAAAAAGGAUCGGUGAAAAAUUUGUUUUAAUUGCUGAUUGGAUAACAGUUACCAUGAACUUCAUUAUAUGAAAUUUUUAUGUACAAAAUUAAGGAUUAAGUGGGCGACUUUUUGGGUAUUAAAGAAGCUAUUGAGAAAACAAAAACCAGAAGAAUAAAGAAAAGAGAAAGUUUUAAAAAAUACGUAGAACAUUUUUAUCUUAUAGAGGCUGUGAAAUUCGGAUCGGCCUAAGAUAAGCUGGGGUUAUUGUAAGCUUCAAACGUCUCAAAAACUCACAGCACCCGAUCAAACAAUGAUCGUAACGCGUUUAAGUUAUCGGAAUCAACUUGCUGACAAGCAAGCUAAACGACUUGAUGCACCAAAGAAACUUAGUCAAACAGCAAGCAAGGCCAAAUAUGGGUCACGACGAAGCAAGAUAUGUGCCAGAAAUACCAGGAGGAAUUCUUCCUGAGCAAUAGAAGACAAAAACGUCCUCCUUUUUCUUCUCGUUUUUGUUUUCUCAGUAUCAUCUUUAAUGACUGAAAUAUUGCCCACUUAAUCCAUAAUUUUGUAAAUACAAAUUUCAUACAAUGACGACAAUUAUGUUGGUUGGUAUCCAAUCGGCAAUUAAGAAAAAAAUUUUCACUGGUCCAUUUAGCCCCGCGGUCCACAUUGUGCCGUCGCUCCAUUUUGCCUCACCCUCAUAUUUUCUGCGCAUGCCUAUAUCAUCACAUUGUGAUCUUUAGAUAAAAAAAAACGAUCGAGAGAACGUUCAAGUAAUAAUCUAACCGUGUCUUAAAGUUAGAUUCAUGUUAUGAAGGUCAGCGGAUUUUCGAAAGAGAAUAUAGAAAUACAGUUUUCGUAAUGAGCAUUAGACAAAAAAACAUUAUUUUCUCCUUGAACCAUCAACAUUUUUUUAUUCAAUCUCAAAACGUAUUGGUUUAAAGGACUGAAACCAACAAUUAUUGAAAUGUUUCGCUAUCCGCAAAAUCCUCGUUUGUUAAUAGCUCGUGUAUGAGUGAUCAUAUAAAAAAAUGUCCAAAUCUUUUCCAAUCGCCUACAGAAUUGAUUCCAAGCAUAAAAUAUGAUUUUAGAUUCCAUAACUCCCCGGACAUUUUAGUUAAAACUUAGUUGUUUAGAAAUUAACAUUUAUAAUCUCACGAAAAUGUCGAAAUUAUCAACUAUAAUUAUUAUUAUAAGAAAAGAAAUAAUCCCCCACAUAAGAUAUUUCCGUCAAGGUUACCUGAAAAAAACGGACUUGUCAAGUUUUCCAGAAAAAUCACUCACGCUUAGUGCUCGUGACUGCUUAAGGUUGUUUUGCAUGUAUUGGCGAAGAUAUAAGAAUUGCUUGUAAUUCUGGCAUAAUAUUGUUGAACUGGUAACAGAUGCCUGCAUAAAAUUUGAGACUGACUCACAACAUCGUUUUGUGGUUAUUAAUUAUUCAAGUUUUCAAUUAACACGGCCUCUUAUGGGGAAAAUGAAAAUUUCUGUAAAUAUAGUCCAAAUUAUAAAAUUUUAUUGGAAUUUCGAAAAUUUACUAUUGAAGCAGAUGUAAAACUAUGGUAAAAAUUUCAUGACUAUUGACUAAAAUUUUAUUAAAUUAAUAUGUUUAAACAAUAUAAUAUUUAUUCAUAAAAUCGAAUGCAAUCUAAUAAUUUGCUAUGGCUAUUACUGAAACUUAGUAACGCAUUGAAAUAUUAAUUCAACAUUAAUUGCGAUAAUUGUAACGAAUUAUAGAAAGGGUGACAAACUUUUAUUUGGACUAUAUGUGCAGAACAUCCUUAACCUGGGAAACUUGACACGUUCAUUUGUUUGCAACAAACCUAUCGGGAAAUAUCCGAUUAAUUUCGAAAUUCUAGUUGUAUUUGGUGGAUCAUUUUUUUGGUUCAAAUUUCAGCCGAUAGAAUUGUACCAUGAUACGAAGUCUGUAUUCCAGAAAUGAGACAACAUAUAUGAAAAACAUAAAAUCGUUCAAUUUGUUUAUUUCCCACUCGGAGCUUCAACCAAUCGAAACGGUGUAUUUGAUCGAGUUGAGGAACAACGCAAUUUAUUUAGUACUUUGAGGAAGAUUUUUACAAAUUUGUUACAUAAUAGUUUACAAGAAAUUCUCCCCAAAUGGAUUCAUUUUUCAGAUUUGGUUUAUUGACGUUAUCAAAGUUUGACAGUUGUGAAGUUUCAUCAGCCAAUUUAAAUUGCGGACACAACAAAUUCGUUGCUUAAGAACUACGAGGUGAUUAUCCGAAAAAUAUCCGAAAUAAUACCCAUCCACAUGUCCCAAAUUAAAUCAAAUGCAUCGUUACUAUUGGUCGAAAUUGUAACAGGGGAGAUAAUCACUUAUAAUACCACAAAAGUUUCAAAAUUAUCGGGUAUUUACCGAUAGGUUCGUUGCAAACAAAGGAAGGACUCCAGUUUUUCAGACUAAAAAAGCAGGAACGCCAAGCUUCCGAUAAUUUUGAACUGUGUGGUAUUCGAGGAAUUACUUUUCCGGCCCGAAUGUCGGCCAAUGGGAUUGCACCAUGAGACGAAACUCACAGUUAAGAAAUGAGAAUUUCAUAUAUGUUAGUCUCUCGUAGGGUUAAUUUGAAUGGAUACUGUUUCGUUGUUUAUAGAACAACUACCAGAGGGAAUCAGCAAAAGAGCAUCAGUAUAAACUCAUCUAGGUUGUACCACGUGACUUCGAAUGGUGCAAUUCUAUUGGUCGAUAUUUGGGUCGGAAAAACCAUCAACGAAAUUCCAUGCAAAUUGAUUUUUUUUUAUCAAACGUUCGCCCGAAUUAUCAUUGUCCUGCAACAAAAUUUUCUAGUAUUUGGACCUUCUUGAUGUCCUGCCGUACCCCAUCUACAGGUACAUUGACCCAUAAUUGUAGUGCAAUUAAUGAAGACAUUGAACUCAUGCCAAUUCGGCUAU